rnacentral:rRNA from 1 species
GGAUCCCAGGAGCUUGCUCCUGGGUGAGAGUGGCGAACGGGUGAGUAAUGCGUGACCGACCUGCCCCAUACACCGGAAUAGCUCCUGGAAACGGGUGGUAAUGCCGGAUGCUCCAGUUGGAUGCAUGGCCUUCUGGGAAAGCUUCAUCGGUAUGGGAUGGGGUCGCGUCCUAUCAGCUUGAUGGCGGGGUAACGGCCCACCAUGGCUUCGACGGGUAGCCGGCCUGAGAGGGCGACCGGCCACAUUGGGACUGAGAUACGGCCCAGACUCCUACGGGAGGCAGCAGUGGGGAAUAUUGCACAAUGGGCGCAAGCCUGAUGCAGCGACGCCGCGUGCGGGAUGACGGCCUUCGGGUUGUAAACCGCUUUUGACUGGGAGCAAGCCCUUCGGGGUGAGUGUACCUUUCGAAUAAGCACCGGCUAACUACGUGCCAGCAGCCGCGGUAAUACGUAGGGUGCAAGCGUUAUCCGGAAUUAUUGGGCGUAAAGGGCUCGUAGGCGGUUCGUCGCGUCCGGUGUGAAAGUCCAUCGCUUAACGGUGGAUCCGCGCCGGGUACGGGCGGGCUUGAGUGCGGUAGGGGAGACUGGAAUUCCCGGUGUAACGGUGGAAUGUGUAGAUAUCGGGAAGAACACCAAUGGCGAAGGCAGGUCUCUGGGCCGUCACUGACGCUGAGGAGCGAAAGCGUGGGGAGCGAACAGGAUUAGAUACCCUGGUAGUCCACGCCGUAAACGGUGGAUGCUGGAUGUGGGGACCAUUCCACGGUCUCCGUGUCGGAGCCAACGCGUUAAGCAUCCCGCCUGGGGAGUACGGCCGCAAGGCUAAAACUCAAAGAAAUUGACGGGGGCC